CAACUCUCGUCUACUGAUUAAAAAUCCUUGCACCGUUGUCCUCUGGAAGAAUUUCCAAAAACAGAUAUCUAUUUAUCCAACACACCUACCAAGCAAUUACUAUCGCCAUCACAGGAGUACAGUCGCGUCCAAAACACAACUACAUUAGGUACAAUCAGCAACAGCGGUACAACGUCACUCGGAGACUGUUACGCACGGACGCGCCCUCCGAGUGCUAAUGAGAGAUAAUCCCGGGACUCUGCCUUGAUUUCUGUUGCAGACCCUGCCAGUAUGAAGAGUGUGAUCACAGAAGGCUAACUCGGAAAAAGUUGAAAAGUGGCCCCGCCCUGGCUUACAAGGGGCCCCAGAAGGAACAUGUUAAGAUUUCAUGCUGCUCUCACAGCGGGAAGGAUCUUAUGAUGAAAGACCAUAUUUUGAAAAUGUUAGUGCUCAAAAACAACAGUAUUCAAGCUGAAAAAAGAAGCCAAAUUAUAUUGAGCCAUUAUAAUGCAUGGUUAAGAUUGAAAAAUUGACAAAAAUUUUAUAGUAAUGAAUUGAAGAGAAGGUACAAAUAUAGAAUGGAAAGGGAACAUUUUCGUCAACCAUUAAAUACUCGACCAGCAAAAAUAAUUUUUAUCUGCACCCAUAAAAACCAGUACAAAUUUCUAUGAAAACUCAACCCGACCAUUAUAAAACAAUUGUGCGCCC